GACGAACGCUGGCGGCGUGCUUAACACAUGCCAGUCGAACGGAAAGGCCCUGCGUUUGUGGGGUGCUCGAGUGGCGAACGGGUGAGUAACACGUGAGUAACCUGCCCUUGACUUUGGGAUAACUUCAGGAAACUGGUGCUAAUACCGGAUAGGAGCUCCUGCUGCAUGGUGUGGGUUGGAAAGUUUCGGCGGUUGGGGAUGGACGCGCGGCUUAUCAGCUUGUUGGUGGGGUAGUGGCUUACCAAGGCUUUGACGGGUAGCCGGCCUGAGAGGGUGACCGGCCACAUUGGGACUGAGAUACGGCCCAGACUCCUACGGGAGGCAGCAGUGGGGAAUAUUGCACAAUGGGCGGAAGCCUGAUGCAGCAACGCCGCGUGCGGGAUGACGGCCUUCGGGUUGUAAACCGCUUUCGCCUGUGACGAAGCGUGAGUGACGGUAAUGGGUAAAGAAGCACCGGCUAACUACGUG
rnacentral:rRNA from 1 species